GACAGAGUGGUGUAGUGGUUUGAGCAUUGGACUGUGACUCCAGAGAACAGGAUUUGAAUCCCAGCUCAGCCA